GACAAACAGGUCAGGUUAAGAUUUGUUUAGUAAAAAAGGAGGUUAGAUUAGUAGGAGUUGGAAAUUUGCUGUUUCUAUAGGGGUGAAAUCCGGAUAGAAGUAGUUAGGUUGUUGUUUUCGAUAUAUUGAAUCCUCGAAAGUUUUGUGUGGAAACCGGGAUUAGAUACCCCGUUAUUUAGUUCUGUAAAAUUUAAUUUAUUAAUUUACUUGGGGAUUACGUGUUACUGUUAGAAUUAGAGAUGUUUAGUUGUAAGUGGCUUAAAACUCAAAAAACUUGGCGGUGCUUCAAUUCUUUCCGGGGGAACCUGUCCUGUAAAUGAUGGUCCACGAUUUAGCUUACCUUUAGCUUGAAUACUAAUUAAAUUUAGUACAGUUUGUAUACCGUCGUCGUCAGAUUACCUUUAAGAGGUGAAAGAAGUUAUCAGGAGGAGCGGAGGGUUAACGACCAAGAUAUUUGUAUUUAAAUAGGUCGGCUUGAUGCUCUUGAUGUCAGAUCAAGGUGCAGCUUAUGCGGAGGAAGAGAUGGGUUACAAUAAUAAUUUAUUAAACGGAUUUCAUUUUGUAAGAGAUGAAUUGAAGGCGGACUCGGGAGUAAUAGAAUAGUGAAUUAUUAAAUAGAAAGUUUUUGUGAAGUAUAGUGCUGAAGUGCGU
rnacentral:rRNA from 1 species